rnacentral:tRNA from 1 species
GGUUUUAUAGUUUAAUUAAAACUAUUAAAUUGCAAAUUUAAUAAUAUGGUGAUCUGUUAAAACCU